GAAUAUUGGACAAUGGGGGGAACCCUGAUCCAGCCAUGCCGCGUGUGUGAAGAAGGCCUUUUGGUUGUAAAGCACUUUAAGCGAGGAGGAGGCUCCUCUAGUUAAUACCUAGGUAUAGUGGACGUUACUCUCCGAAUAAGCACCGGCUCACUAUGUGCCAGCGGCCGCGGUAAUACAGAGGGUGCAAGCGUUAAUCGGAUUUACUGGGCGUAAAGCGCGCGUAGGUGGCCAAUUAAGUCAAAUGUGAAAUCCCCGAGCUUAACUUGGGAAUUGCAUUCGAUACUGGUUGGCUAGAGUAUGGGAGAGGAUGGUAGAAUUCCAGGUGUAGCGGUGAAAUGCGUAGAGAUCUGGAGGAAUACCGAUGGCGAAGGCAGCCAUCUGGCCUAAUACUGACACUGAGGUGCGAAAGCAUGGGGAGCAAACA
rnacentral:rRNA from 1 species